CUACGUGCCAGCAGCCGCGGUAAUACGUAGGGCGCGAGCGUUGUCCGGAAUUAUUGGGCGUAAAGAGCUUGUAGGCGGUUGGUCGCGUCUGCUGUGAAAGGCUGGGGCUUAACCCUGGUUUUGCAGUGGGUACGGGCUAACUAGAGUGCAGUAGGGGAGACUGGAAUUCCUGGUGUAGCGGUGGAAUGCGCAGAUAUCAGGAGGAACACCGAUGGCGAAGGCAGCCCCUUGGGAAUGUACUGACGCUCAUGUGCGAAAGCGUGGGGAGCAAACAGGAUUAGAUACCCUGGUAGUCCACGCUGUAAACGAUGUCGAUUUGGGGGUUGAGCUUUAAGCUUGGCGCCCGUAGCUAACGUGAUAAAUCGACCGCCUGGGGAGUACGGCCGCAAGGUUAAAACUCAAAUGAAUUGACGGGGGCCCGCACAAGCGGUGGAGCAUGUGGUUUAAUUCGAUGCAACGCGAAGAACCUUACCUACUCUUGACAUCCAGA
rnacentral:rRNA from 1 species